UACUGCAAGUCGAGCGAACGGACGAGAAGCUUGCUUCUCUGAUGUUAGCGGCGGACGGGUGAGUAACACGUGGAUAACCUACCUAUAAGACUGGGAUAACUUCGGGAAACCGGAGCUAAUACCGGAUAAUAUUUUGAACCGCAUGGUUCAAAAGUGAAAGACGGUCUUGCUGUCACUUAUAGAUGGAUCCGCGCUGCAUUAGCUAGUUGGUAAGGUAACGGCUUACCAAGGCAACGAUGCAUAGCCGACCUGAGAGGGUGAUCGGCCACACUGGAACUGAGACACGGUCCAGACUCCUACGGGAGGCAGCAGUAGGGAAUCUUCCGCAAUGGGCGAAAGCCUGACGGAGCAACGCCGCGUGAGUGAUGAAGGUCUUCGGAUCGUAAAACUCUGUUAUUAGGGAAGAACAUAUGUGUAAGUAACUGUGCACAUCUUGACGGUACCUAAUCAGAAAGCCACGGCUAACUACGUGCCAGCAGCCGCGGUAAUACGUAGGUGGCAAGCGUUAUCCGGAAUUAUUGGGCGUAAAGCGCGCGUAGGCGGUUUUUUAAGUCUGAUGUGAAAGCCCACGGCUCAACCGUGGAGGGUCAUUGGAAACUGGAAAACUUGAGUGCAGAAGAGGAAAGUGGAAUUCCAUGUGUAGCGGUGAAAUGCGCAGAGAUAUGGAGGAACACCAGUGGCGAAGGCGACUUUCUGGUCUGUAACUGACGCUGAUGUGCGAAAGCGUGGGGAUCAAACAGGAUUAGAUACCCUGGUAGUCCACGCCGUAAACGAUGAGUGCUAAGUGUUAGGGGGUUUCCGCCCCUUAGUGCUGCAGCUAACGCAUUAAGCACUCCGCCUGGGGAGUACGACCGCAAGGUUGAAACUCAAAGGAAUUGACGGGGACCCGCACAAGCGGUGGAGCAUGUGGUUUAAUUCGAAGCAACGCGAAGAACCUUACCAAAUCUUGACAUCCUUUGACAACUCUAGAGAUAGAGCCUUCCCCUUCGGGGGACAAAGUGACAGGUGGUGCAUGGUUGUCGUCAGCUCGUGUCGUGAGAUGUUGGGUUAAGUCCCGCAACGAGCGCAACCCUUAAGCUUAGUUGCCAUCAUUAAGUUGGGCACUCUAAGUUGACUGCCGGUGACAAACCGGAGGAAGGUGGGGAUGACGUCAAAUCAUCAUGCCCCUUAUGAUUUGGGCUACACACGUGCUACAAUGGACAAUACAAAGGGUAGCGAAACCGCGAGGUCAAGCAAAUCCCAUAAAGUUGUUCUCAGUUCGGAUUGUAGUCUGCAACUCGACUACAUGAAGCUGGAAUCGCUAGUAAUCGUAGAUCAGCAUGCUACGGUGAAUACGUUCCCGGGUCUUGUACACACCGCCCGUCACACCACGAGAGUUUGUAACACCCGAAGCCGGUGGAGUAACCUUUUAG
rnacentral:rRNA from 1 species